rnacentral:tRNA from 1 species
AGCGGGGUAGGACAGUUAGGAGUGUCCGUCGGGCUCAUAACCCGGGGUCAGAGGUUCAAAUCCUCUCUCCGCUA